rnacentral:rRNA from 1 species
CGAACGGGUGAGUAAAGAAUCGCUAACGUACCCCGGACUCUGGGAUAGCUACCCGAAAGGGUAGGUAAUACCAGAUGAUAUAACUUUCCUGCAUGGGAGAGUUCUCAAAGGUCCGCCGGUCUGGGAGCGGGCGAUUUCGUAUCAGCUAGUUGGUGAGGUAACGGCUCACCAAGGCGACGACGCGUAGCCGGACUGAGAGGUUGGCCGGCCACAUUGGGACUGAGACACUGCCCAG